GGGCUGGGGCUUAGUGGUAGAGUGCUCACCUCUCACGUGUUGAGACCCUGGGUUCGAUCCUCAGCACCACA
rnacentral:tRNA from 1 species